rnacentral:rRNA from 1 species
GCCCAGCUUGCUGGGUGGAUUAGUGGCGAACGGGUGAGUAACACGUGAGUAACCUGCCCCUGACUCUGGGAUAAGCGUUGGAAACGACGUCUAAUACUGGAUAUGACUGCCGGCCGCAUGGUCUGGUGGUGGAAAGAUUUUUUGGUUGGGGCUGGACCCGCUCCUUAUCAGCUUGUUGGUGAGGUAAUGGCUCACCAAGGCGACGACGGGUAGCCGGCCUGAGAGGGUGACCGGCCACACUGGGACUGAGACACGGCCCAGACUCCUACGGGAGGCAGCAGUGGGGAAUAUUGCACAAUGGGCGAAAGCCUGAUGCAGCAACGCCGCGUGAGGGAUGACGGCCUUCGGGUUGUAAACCUCUUUUAGUAGGGAAGAAGCGAAAGUGACGGUACCUGCAGAAAAAGCACCGGCUAACUACGUGCCAGCAGCCGCGGUAAUACGUAGGGUGCAAGCGUUGUCCGGAAUUAUUGGGCGUAAAGAGCUCGUAGGCGGUUUGUCGCGUCUGCUGUGAAAUCCCGAGGCUCAACCUCGGGCUUGCAGUGGGUACGGGCAGACUAGAGUGCGGUAGGGGAGAUUGGAAUUCCUGGUGUAGCGGUGGAAUGCGCAGAUAUCAGGAGGAACACCGAUGGCGAAGGCAGAUCUCUGGGCCGUAACUGACGCUGAGGAGCGAAAGCAUGGGGAGCGAACAGGAUUAGAUACCCUGGUAGUCCAUGCCGUAAACGUUGGGCGCUAGAUGUAGGGACCUUUCCACGGUUUCUGUGUCGUAGCUAACGCAUUAAGCGCCCCGCCUGGGGAGUACGGCCGCAAGGCUAAAACUCAAAGGAAUUGACGGGGGCCCGCACAAGCGGCGGAGCAUGCGGAUUAAUUCGAUGCAACGCGAAGAACCUUACCAAGGCUUGACAUACACCGGAAACGGCCAGAGAUGGUCGCCCCCUUGUGGUCGGUGUACAGGUGGUGCAUGGUUGUCGUCAGCUCGUGUCGUGAGAUGUUGGGUUAAGUCCCGCAACGAGCGCAACCCUCGUUCUAUGUUGCCAGCGCGUUAUGGCGGGGACUCAUAGGAGACUGCCGGGGUCAACUCGGAGGAAGGUGGGGAUGACGUCAAAUCAUCAUGCCCCUUAUGUCUUGGGCUUCACGCAUGCUACAAUGGCCGGUACAAAGGGCUGCGAUACCGUAAGGUGGAGCGAAUCCCAAAAAGCCGGUCUCAGUUCGGAUUGAGGUCUGCAACUCGACCUCAUGAAGUCGGAGUCGCUAGUAAUCGCAGAUCAGCAACGCUGCGGUGAAUACGUUCCCGGGCCUUGUACACACCGCCCGUCAAGUCAUGAAAGUCGGUAACACCCGAAGCCGGUGGCCUAACCCUUGUGGAAGAG